GCGGGCUGGACCUCUCGGGGUUACAGCCUUGCUGAAUUAUUCACCCUUGUCUUUUGCGUACUUCUUGUUUCCUUGGUGGGUUCGCCCACCACUAGGACAAACAUAAACCUUUUGUAAUUGCAAUCAGCGUCAGUAACAAAUUAAUAAUUACAACUUUCAACAACGGAUCUCUUGGUUCUGGCAUCGAUGAAGAACGCAGCGAAAUGCGAUAAGUAGUGUGAAUUGCAGAAUUCAGUGAAUCAUCGAAUCUUUGAACGCACAUUGCGCCCUUUGGUAUUCCAAAGGGCAUGCCUGUUCGAGCGUCAUUUGUACCCUCAAGCUUUGCUUGGUGUUGGGCGUCUUGUCUCUAGCUUUGCUGGAGACUCGCCUUAAAGUAAUUGGCAGCCGGCCUACUGGUUUCGGAGCGCAGCACAAGUCGCACUCUCUAUCAGCAAAGGUCUAGCAUCCACUAAGCCUUUUUUUCAACUUUUGACCUCGGAUCAGGUAGGGAUACCCGCUGAACUUAAGCAUAUCA
rnacentral:rRNA from 1 species